UCUAAUAAAGAAAUGAUUUGAAUUAUGUAAAAAGAAAUCGCCAUGAAAUCGAAUACUACAUCAAAGUUUUAAUAUUGAAUCCGUGCCUAUUCGAUUAUGCGAAUCACAUGCUCAACCCUCGUGGCGCAAGCAUCGUUCUGGAAAGAGGACAAGGGCAGCAUGACUACGUUGACGAAUUAGGCACCUAUCGCGGCGAAGUUGCUUAAUCCCUUCUUUCCCGAAGAAAUAUUUAUGCGGCCAGAUUUCGUUCCGUUUACGGGUCACGUAGUAUCAAAAACAAUUUUAUUAGGGAGAAAAAGCUGAAUACGUAAAAAGAGGAGAAAAGACAAGACGUAGAAAGCCUACAUUAAAUCACAACGUGCAGCGUUGCACGUUUCUAUUAUUAAAAUAUUCUAACUACUGAGACAAAUCACGACUUCAAUUUCAAUUUCAACAGCGAGUAUCCAAUUACAUUUUAGACAAGUAAUCGAGAGCCAACGUCCUCCGGAUGCAGGAAGAAUAUAGGAAUGUGUAUAUAUAUAAAAUGCUGAAUAGAUAAAAAAGAAAACGACAAUUUAUGGCGUUCAUGUAAACGUAAAUUCUCGUAUACAUCACAUGACCAAUGAAACGACCGCGGAAGUUCACUGGUAUUCAUUUCCCUUUCGUUUAAUUACGGAUAGAUGCGAGAGGGAACAGAUAUUAAAUGAUGGGGCAAGAUUAGAUGAGUCAGAUUGGUUUUUUUUAAGAGGUCUCGUCUGAUUGACUCCAACGAUUGGAUUUUCUAUUUGGUAAUCGGUUAUGUCAAUUACAUGAUUCGGAGUUGUAUAAUGAGGUAAUUCGAAAGAGGGAAAUUUGAUGACACAAGCCAAUAUUGUCAGGAAAUAGCAAGGAAGAAAUACAAAGUACAACGACGUCUUAAUAUUUCCUGAACUAUUAAUCUUCUAUUCAUAACUAUUAAUCUUCUGAGAACAGGUGUUGGAUUAUUUCCGUCAAUGUACAAUACUUUGUAAAACUUUAUAAAUUACCGAAACGAAAGGGAUAGGAAUGAAAACCGCUUGUAAGUUUUGAAUUGAAGGAAGAAGACGAGAAUAUGUCAUUACGUAAGCGAAAGUCGAAGUUUUUGUAGAAAUGGUUUUUGCAGUAGAAUCAAUAAAAAUGAUUUUCUUUUUAUUAAACUUUUGCUGGAUGAAAGUAAAAGAACUUC